rnacentral:rRNA from 1 species
GGUGAACGCUGGCGGUGUGCCUAACACAUGCAAGUCGAGCGGCCGGACGGUAAGCUUGCUUUUCUGCUGUUGGCGACGGGCGGAUGGGUAACGCGUACAUAGCCAUCUUCUUUGUCGUGGAUAAUUACGUGGAACCGGUGAUCAUACUACCUCAUACUUUCAACCGGUGAGUUCAUGAGUUAACGGCACUCUUCCUGACUCUUAUAGAUGGUUCCGCGCUACAUUAUCUAGUUGGUAAGGUAACGGCCCACCAAGGCUACGAUGCAUAGCUGACCUGAUAGGUUGAUCGGCCACACUGGAACUGAGACACGGUCCAGACUCCUACGGGAGGCAGCAGUAGGGAAUCUUGCACAAUGGGCGCAAGCCUGACCGAGCAAUGCCGCGUGAGUGAUGAAGGGCUUCGGAUUGUAAAGCUCUGUUAUGAGGAAAGAACAUAUGUAGAAGAAAAUGAGCACAUCUUGACGGUACCUAAAGAGAAAGCCACGGCUAACUACGUG